rnacentral:rRNA from 1 species
GACGAACGUUGGCGGCGUGCCUAAUACAUGCAAGUAGAACGCUGAAGGAGGAGCUUGCUUCUCUGGAUGAGUUGCGAACGGGUGAGUAACGCGUAGGUAACCUGCCUGGUAGCGGGGGAUAACUAUUGGAAACGAUAGCUAAUACCGCAUAAGAGUAGAUGUUGCAUGACAUUUGCUUAAAAGGUGCAAUUGCAUCACUACCAGAUGGACCUGCGUUGUAUUAGCUAGUUGGUGAGGUAACGGCUCACCAAGGCGACGAUACAUAGCCGACCUGAGAGGGUGAUCGGCCACACUGGGACUGAGACACGGCCCAGACUCCUACGGGAGGCAGCAGUAGGGAAUCUUCGGCAAUGGACGGAAGUCUGACCGAGCAACGCCGCGUGAGUGAAGAAGGUUUUCGGAUCGUAAAGCUCUGUUGUAAGAGAAGAACGAGUGUGAGAGUGGAAAGUUCACACUGUGACGGUAUCUUACCAGAAAGGGACGGCUAACUACGUG